CCACCCGCAGUCCGCAACUCCGCACUUUCUCGCUCAUCCACUGGUCGCUGCUGCCAUUGUUCUUCACCAAAUCACCAGAUGAGUCAACAUUUAGUGCUGGUAGUAGAGUUAUUGAUACAUAUCGGGCAUCUUUGGGGACCUAUACUAUUCAAAUGCUACUUUGUGGAUCAGAAGCGACUAGUUGCGUAACUUAUAUGAUAUAAAAAGAAAACCAAAAUUUACUGAAGAUGUGAAGACGAUAUCACUUGAAUGAACUUGGAGUUAAGGUAUUAUUGUAUUAAGCUUUUGGGAUGAUGGAAUGAACUUGUAGUUAAGGUAUUAAGCUUUUGUGAUGAUGGAUGCAGAAUGUAAAUAUCUCAUGCUUUAUGUUUUUACGCUUUGGCUUGUAAUGUGAACAGACAAAUUAUGUGUUUGUGUAUUUUU